UUUGCUAAGGUCAAGUAUUACCCUUAGCAAUACAUAAGUAGCAUGUAGCA
rnacentral:ncRNA from 1 species